rfam:Schistosoma haematobium scaffold1222_22, whole genome shotgun sequence.
AUCCAGCUGACGAGUCCGGAAUAGGACAAACGUGCGUCCGGGAU